rnacentral:pre_miRNA from 1 species
AACUUUAGUCGAAAAGUCAUCAACAACAAAGUUGUAUAACUCAUCAAGAUCUAUAACUUUUAUUUUGGUCAUUUCUUCAUUCGACGAAGUGAUAGUAAUAUUUUCACAAAAUUUACAUAUCUCUCUUAUAGUUUAUAAAACCAUAUGAGAGAUAUGUAAAUUUUAUGAACAAUGUUACUGUUAAUUUAUCGGACGAAGAAAUGACCAAAAUAAAAGUUAUAGAUCUUGAUGAGUUAUACAACUUUGUUGUUGAUGAUUUUUUCAACUGAAAUC